rnacentral:lncRNA from 1 species
UUCCUUUGGAGGCGGCGCCUCCAAAUGGGACUCGUGGGUAAUUUGCAAGAGGGGGCUGCCGCGCUGGUGGAGGUACUCGGCGAGCGCCUCUACUAGGCUACUGUGGCGGCCUCCACAAAUUCCUUAAUUCUAAAGAAGCACACACCACCUUUCGCGAGGUGGUCACUUUUCUUAAUUUCUACGAGUCUGAAUUUGAAGAAAAC